AGGGGAUCUUUGGACCUUUCGCUAUGAGAUGAGCCUGCGUUAGAUUAGCUAGUUGGUAGGGUAAAGGCCUACCAAGGCGACGAUCUAUAGCUGGUCUGAGAGGACGAUCAGCCACACUGGGACUGAGACACGGCCCAGACUCCUACGGGAGGCAGCAGUGGGGAAUAUUGGACAAUGGGCGAAAGCCUGAUCCAGCAAUACCGCGUGUGUGAAGAAGGCCUUAGGGUUGUAAAGCACUUUCAAUUGGGAGGAAAACCUGCCGGCCAAUACCCGGUAGCUUGACAUUACCUUUAGAAGAAGCACCGGCUAACUCCGUGCCAGCAGCCGCGGUAAUACGGAGGGUGCGAGCGUUAAUCGGAAUUACUGGGCGUAAAGCGUGCGUAGGCGGUUCGUUAAGUCAGAUGUGAAAGCCCUGGGCUCAACCUGGGAACUGCAUUUGAAACUGGCGGACUAGAGUUUAGUAGAGGGGAGUGGAAUUUCAGGUGUAGCGGUGAAAUGCGUAGAUAUCUGAAGGAACACCAGUGGCGAAGGCGACUCCCUGGACUAGAACUGACGCUGAGGUACGAAAGCGUGGGUAGCAAACAGGAUUAGAUACCCUGGUAGUCCACGCCGUAAACGAUGUCGACUAGC
rnacentral:rRNA from 1 species